rnacentral:rRNA from 1 species
AACGAACGCUGGCGGCGUGCUUAAUACAUGCAAGUCGAACGAGAAAGUCCCUUCGGGGGCGAGUAGAGUGGCGCCCGGGUGAGUAACGCGUAGGUAAUCUACCCUGAAGUGGGGAAUAACACUUGGAAACGAGUGCUAAUACCGCAUAAUGCGCCUUUCCAUAAGGAAAGUCGAGAAAGGCUUCAGCCGCUUUUGGAUGAGCCUGCGUCCCAUUAGCUAGUUGGUAGGGUAAAGGCCUACCAAGGCUACGAUGGGUAGCUGGUCUGAGAGGAUGAUCAGCCACACUGGAACUGACACACGGUCCAGACUCCUACGGGAGGCAGCAGUAGGGGAUUUUGCGCAAUGGGGGAAACCCUGACGCAGCGACGCCGCGUGAGCGAAGAAGGUCUUCGGAUUGUAAAGCACUUUAAGUCGGGAGGAAGGGCUGCAGGUUAAUACCUUGCAGCCUUGACGUUACCGACAGAAUAAGCACCGGCUAACUUCGUGCCAGCCGCCGCGGUAA